rnacentral:rRNA from 1 species
GCAGGGACGAAGUCUGACGGAGCACGCCGCGUGAGCGAUGAAGGCCUUCGGGUCGUAAAGCUCUGUUGUUAGGGAAGAACAAGUACCAGAGUAACUGCUCGUACCUUGACGGUACCUAACCAGAAAGCCACGGCUAACUACGUGCCAGCAGCCGCGGUAAUACGUAGGUGGCGAGCGUUAUCCGGAAUUAUUGGGCGUAAAGCGCGCGCAGGCGGUUUCUUAAGUCUGAUGUGAAAGCCCACGGCUCAACCGUGGAGGGUCAUUGGAAACUGGGAAACUUGAGUGCAGAAGAGGAAAGCGGAAUUCCACGUGUAGCGGUGAAAUGCGUAGAGAUGUGGAGGAACACCAGUGGCGAAGGCGGCUUUCUGGUCUGUAACUGACGCUGAGGCGCGAAAGCGUGGGGAGCAAACAGGAUUAGAUACCCUGGUAGUCCACGCCGUAAACGAUGAGUGCUAAGUGUUAGAGGGUUUCCGCCCUUUAGUGCUGAAGUUAAC